GUAUUAGAGGCACUGCCUGCCCAGUGACUCUAGUUAAACGGCCGCGGUAUCCUGACCGUGCAAAGGUAGCAUAAUCAUUUGUUCUCUAAAUAGGGACUUGUAUGAAUGGCCUCACGAGGGUUUAACUGUCUCUUACUUUUAAUCAGUGAAAUUGACACUCCCGUGAAGAGGCGGGAAUUAAAAAAUAAGACGAGAAGACCCUAUGGAGCUUCAAUUAAUUAACUUAUAAGUUAUAAUACCAAUCUAAAAGAGACAAAUCAAACUUGACUAAGUUAACAAUUUGGGUUGGGGCGACCUCGGAAUAAAAAUCAACUUCCGAGACAGAUCUACUAAGACCUACAAGUCAAAGUUAUCUUACCACAUAUUGAUCCGCCAAUGACGAUCAACGAAACAAGUUACCCUAGGGAUAACAGCGCAAUCCUAUUUAAGAGUCCAUAUCGACAAUUAGGGUUUACGACCUCGAUGUUGGAUCAGGACAUCCCAAUGGUGCAGCAGCUAUUAAUGUGUUCGUUUGUUCAACGAUUAAAGUCCUACGUGAUCUGAGU
rnacentral:rRNA from 1 species